AAGCAAGAAGCAACUUUGCAGUAUGGUUUCGGCCCAUUCAGAGGAGCACCUCGUUCCCUUGCCCG
rnacentral:tRNA from 1 species